rnacentral:rRNA from 1 species
AUGGAGAAGGAAGCGACGACGCCGCGGCCGGUGUGCGCGCAGGAGGCGCUCGCGCUGCUCAACUGCGCCGCCGAGAACCCCUACGACCGCGACAAGUGCCUCGCCCUCCUCGACGCGCUCCGGGAGUGCAUCGCCCAAAAGAAAGUGAAGAAAUUUUCGUUGGCUGAAGCAGGCUCCACCAGCACCACGGAAGCUCCAAAAAGCAAAUAG